UUUCAGUCAAAACGGAAGGUGUUUCAGUAAAACCGGAAGGGCUUCCGUUCAACAAAAAUGCGCAAUUCACAGCGCGAUUCACGUGUUGAUCGUCAGCCACAUUGUUCGCAAACACUAAUGUCUGCCCAACAGCCUGCAAGCAGCCUAACCGAGGCAGCAGCGUUACUUCACACUGUACUUGCGUCAGCGGAGACCAUCAGAACCGUUGCAACUUCAAGCCGCGACACACUGGACAGUCACAUAGCGUCACUUUCCCCCUCCGGACAGCACAGCAGCAUGACACUGCCAACUGCAGCUCCAGUGUGAGCAACGCUUCAGCUCUUGGACAUCAGCCACGAGGUGGAAAAGGACUGGGACCACCAGACUGUUUUAGAACGCAUCAGGGAUGGCUUUGGUGAGCACAUUCCAGACGAUGUCAGCUAUAAGAGAGGACUGGUAAUACAUUGCUGGCAAAGCCAUUGCUGUGAGCUUGGUACAUGGCGGUCCACCACCAAACUUCCUCUCUCAGACAUAGCUGACACAGAACUCUU